rnacentral:misc_RNA from 1 species
UUUUUUUAUAAACUUAACAGAGCUUAGAAAAGAUGAAUAUCCUUGAAACGAAAACUUAAACAUAGAUAAUAAUAAUAAUAAUAAUAAACACCGAUACCCAUGAUGUUGUACCCAGUCCAACGCCCCAUUAUUCCCUGCUCUCCAUGGAGGAAAUUUCAACACCAAUGUGCUGGACAGAAUUGGCUGGCUAGUUCCGGUUCUUGCAUUUCUCUACAGCUCUUGGGGCUAGGCCAAUGGCAUCAGAGCU